rnacentral:rRNA from 1 species
CCUACGGGUGGCAGCAGUGAGGAAUAUUGGUCAAUGGGCGAGAGCCUGAACCAGCCAAGUCGCGUGAGGGAGUACUGCCCUAUGGGUUGUAAACCUCUUUUGUCGGGGAGCAAAAGCCGGACGUGUCCGGCUGUGAGCGUACCCGAAGAAAAAGCAUCGGCUAACUCCGUGCCAGCAGCCGCGGUAAUACGGAGGAUGCGAGCGUUAUCCGGAUUUAUUGGGUUUAAGGGGUGCGCAGGCGGAUUUUUAUGUCAGCGGUAAAAUCGUGGGGCUCAACCCCAUCCAGCAGUUGAAACUGGGGAUCUAGAGUGUGCGAGAGGUAUGCGGAAUGCGUGGUGUAGCGGUGAAAUGCAUAGAGAUCACGCAGAGCACCGAUUGCGAAGGCAGCAUACCGGUGCACAACUGACGCUCAGGCACGAAAGCGUGGGUAUCGAACAGGAUUAGAUACCCCUGUAGUC